GUCUGCACAUAUACUAAAAUGAAACAAAAGAGAAGAUUAGAUGGCCUCUGUGCAAGGAUGAUACACAGAUUCAUAAAGCAUUCCAUAUUUUU
ensembl:snRNA U6 U6 spliceosomal RNA